CCCAAAUGUAUUCCUGCUCUAGAAGUUGAAGAAGACAUCAUAGAAAACAUUUAGUAGAAUUUUAAGAAAAAAAUAAAUCAAGUGUCAAUCAAGUAUCUGUCAUUCGAACAGCUUUCUUGUAUGCCAAAGAAAUCUUUAAGUGUCGCAAAGUUUCAAUUGUAAAAAUAGUAGAACACGAGAUAUCAGCAAAUACUCUACUCACGGGACAUGACAACUGAAGCUUUCAAACUGCGGACAUGUACUCAUGUUACACUACAUAAAUACGGCUCCAAGAGCUCAGACGAGCUUAACGGCACUCGCACAUCGAUUGCUCACAUCAGCAAUUCUAUCGCAAUGCCGCUAGAAUGACUUCCAAGGUCAAGCUUCUCCUUGACAGUGAUAGGGAAAAGUGGACGGAGGACCAGAACUUCAUCAACGACUUUUACAGGUAUUGCUCCGCCGCACUACUGUACCCAGUGCGCGUUCGGUUAGCUCUCACCAGAAGCCAGCCUAAUAAGACUUUUACAGACCUUGACAGCUCAUCUGAACUGGACCACACGCUCAAAAAGCGCAUUUACACUUCUGUUAUUUGGCUAAUUUAUAUGUCUCACUUACCUGCAGUGCCGUAAAAAAAAAAAAAAAAAAAAAAAAAAAAAA